rnacentral:lncRNA from 13 species
GGUAAGGUUGUACCGGGCGGGUAAAGGUUGUACCGGGCGGGUAAGGUUGUACCGGGCGGGUAAGGUUGUAUUUAAAGAUUGACCACCUUGGUAAGAAUCAAUUGACUGUUUGGCUUUGUUGUGGUUCUUUUGUCGUUCCUAACCCUUUUGCCCUGUUACCAAGCAGAGCACCAAAGUCUGCAAGAGACACUCGUCGGUCAUCCCAUCCUCUCAUAUCCUAGAUGAGGUGAAGACAGGAAGGACUGGACCAGACAGGAGAGAGUUAACAGCCCUGGAGAGGCUCAACGGCGUCGGCUCUGCUGCUGCUGGUGGUCCCAAGGUGCAGAGGUCUACCCUUGUGUUUGGCCGUCCCAGCAUCAAUCUCUCCUCCUCUACCUCCUCUACGGCCCCUCGGGUCCAACUUCGCUCCCAGCGCUCGAGAAUACUGUUCCGACCAAUCAGCAUGCCCUUGGAGCGCCUGCCCCUCCCCACCCCCUCCCAGCUCGUUGAGAGGAACGACCAGAACACCAACGAUGCCGCCAUGUUGGAUCCCACCGCUGACUCCAUCACGGAGUCGGCCGAGCCGGAGAAGGAAACACCUCGGAUUGGUGAGGGGUCAAGGGUCAGUACCUACUUUAUCACACCCUUCAAUCCCCAGGCCGUGCAGCGUAGGACCUGGGACAGGAAGUACAAACACUACGAUGUCACGCCGCGCACCGCCAUGAUCAUGGCUAAUUUACCGCCUGCCGGUGCUGGCCCCGGAACACAGCCGACAGGGAAGCAGCCCACGAUGCCGACACAACCAUCCGUAUCUGGGCCGACUAGCUCUGCUCUCCCAUCCAGUGGAAGUGUCGGCACCAUAUUNNNNNNNNNNNNNNNNNNNNNNNNNNNNNNNNUGCUGGGAUAGUGUUCUGCACAACCACAACAUCAUUCUGCCUUUGCUGGCAUGUCUUACCUUUUUCUAUUUGAAGACAGUAUACAUCGUGUUACAGGAUGACUAGCAGAGUUACGCUGACUAACUAUUAGUAUGAACGGUGAUAUCGAAGAUGGUUCAAUAGUUUAGAAACUCCGGGGCCAGGUGUUCCUGCUACCUCAGUGGUUUAGAAACUCCGAGGCCAGGUGUUCCUGCUACCUCAGUGGUUUAGAAACUCUGGGGCCAGGUGUUUCUGCUCCCUCAGUGGUUUAGAAACUCCGGGGCCAGGUGUUCCUGCUACCUCAGUGGUUUAGAAACUCCGGGGCCAGGUGUUCCUGCUACCUCAGUGGUUUAG